UGAGGAAUAUUGGGUCAAUGGACGAGAGUCUGAACCAGCCAAGUAGCGUGCAGGAUGACGGCCCUAUGGGUUGUAAACUGCUUUUAUAAGGGAAUAAAGUGGGGCUCGUGAGCUCUUUUGCAUGUACCUUAUGAAUAAGGACCGGCUAAUUCCGUGCCAGCAGCCGCGGUAAUACGGAAGGUCCGGGCGUUAUCCGGAUUUAUUGGGUUUAAAGGGAGCGUAGGCCGCAGGUUAAGCGUGUUGUGAAAUGUAGGGGCUCAACCUCUGCACUGCAGCGCGAACUGGCUUGCUUGAGUACGCACAACGUGGGCGGAAUUCGUGGUGUAGCGGUGAAAUGCUUAGAUAUUACGAAGAACUCCGAUUGCGAAGGCAGCUAUCUGGGGUGCAACUGACGCUGAGGCUCGAAGGUGUGGGUAUCAAACAGGAUUAGAUACCCUGGUAGU
rnacentral:rRNA from 1 species